CAAGCUGUGAUGGGGAGGGAAAUAAUAGUACCGAAGUUCCUGAUGUCACACUGCCGAGAAAAGCUUCUAGUGAGAAAACAGCGGCCCGUACCGCAAACCGACACAGGUAGUCGAGGAGAGAAUCCUAAGGUGAGCGAGAGAACUCUCGUUAAGGAACUCGGCAAAAUGACCCCGUAACUUCGGGAGAAGGGGUGCUGAUCAUACGAUCAGCCGCAGUGAAUAGGCCCAAGCGACUGUUUAUCAAAAACACAGGUCUCUGCAAAAUCGUAAGAUGAAGUAUAGGGGCUGACGCCUGCCCGGUGCUGGAAGGUUAAGAGGAGUGCUUAGCGCAAGCGAAGGUACGAAUUGAAGCCCCAGUAAACGGCGGCCGUAACUAUAACGGUCCUAAGGUAGCGAAAUUCCUUGUCGGGUAAGUUCCGACCCGCACGAAAGGCGUAACGAUUUGGGCACUGUCUCAACGAGAGACUCGGUGAAAUUUUAGUACCUGUGAAGAUGCAGGUUACCCGCGACAGGACGGAAAGACCCCAUGGAGCUUUACUGUAGUUUGAUAUUGAGUGUCUGUACCGCAUGUACAGGAUAGGUAGGAGCCGUAGAAAUCGGAACGCUAGUUUCGAUGGAGGCGCUGGUGGGAUACUACCCCUGCGUUAUG
rnacentral:rRNA from 1 species